UCUUACUGAGUUACUAACUUGUAUGGAGGAUACCCAGGCCUUUCUCAAGAAACUUUCCAACAAAAUGUGGAUUAAAAAGUUUCUACAGAAAAAAAACAAUAUGUGAUAAGUUUGACGGCUUAUACAACAGAUUAUUGACCUUCGGACAGAGCCUAAUUAUAUCACUUCAGACGGAAUUCAGCUCGUACAUCUCUGUCGAUAUGGUAAAACAAUGGGAGGCCAAUUUCAGUGCUCUCAAAUUAUUGCAAGAUGAUGUGAAAGAUCUGAAACAAGACUCCAAAAGUCUAGCUGAAAAUGUAGAACAGCUGACAAAGUUCAUGGUUAGCAAACUAAAGUUCCUGCAGCAACUAAAACACCUACGGAGAGAUGG